rnacentral:lncRNA from 1 species
CUCUAUAUUUACUUGUUCAAGUGCCAGUGAAACGAACGAUAGAAAAAAAGAAGCAUUCAAACUGUUCGCAAAUUUUUUGGUUUGGAUACAAGAAACCAAGUGAAAAUGAUACUGGAAAGACUGUUUACCGUUUGACUCCUGUCCUAAUCUAACCUAGUGGGUUCAAAAAGAAGGGACCGCGCUGGAAACAUGAGUGGAUUAAAAGGAUCAGCCCUUUUUGAAUUAUUUGUCGAAGUGGUAACCAGCUAGAAGUCGUAACCAGCUUGUAUGAAAGGAUUUCUCGACGUGAAGUUGGUAAUUUUAUUCAACCAUGCCAAAAAAAAUAGAGCUUGCUCAGGAAACAGAAAAGAAAGAAAAAGAUGAAAUAUUAUUCUGUUGAACAAUA